rnacentral:tRNA from 2 species
GUGACAAUAGGUUAAAUGGUAAACCCUGGCACUUCCAAUGCCAUUAUGUGUGUUCAAUUCACACUUGUCAUA